rnacentral:rRNA from 1 species
UUCGUAGGCGGUGCGGCAAGUCGGAAGUGAAAUCUCCAGGCUUAACUUGGAGGCUGCUUCCGAAACUGCCGUGCUAGAGUGCGGGAGAGGCGAGUGGAAUUACAGGUGUAGCGGUGAAAUGCGUAGAUAUCUGUAGGAACACCCGUGGCGAAGGCGGCUCGCUGGACCGCAACUGACGCUGAGGAACGAAAGCUAGGGGAGCAAACAGGAUUAGAUACCCUGGUAGUCCUAGCCCUAAACGAUCAGGACUUGGGGUGCAUCCCGUUGGGGGUGCGUCCCGUAGCUAACGCGUUAAGUCCUGCGCCUGGGGAGUACGGUCGCAAGGCUGAA